rnacentral:lncRNA from 1 species
AGAGAAGCUGAACAUAUGAGUGAGCUCAGCUAAGAGACCAAGGAAAGAGGAGAAAAGAGGAACCAAGUGAUAGGUGAUUGAAAGAUAUGAGUAGGCGGGAAGAUUCACUCCAAAUAAAUGACAAAGAAGAAUGUUUCUGCUCUCUCAUGAAGGUCACUAGAAAGUUGGUGUUACACGGAGAACUGGCUUGAAUGCUCUUUCCAUCCUUCCCCUGUGGCUUGUUUCCGGAGCUCAUCUUCAUCCUUCAACACUCAG